UACGUAGGGUGCGAGCGUUGUCCGGAAUUAUUGGGCGUAAAGAGCUCGUAGGCGGUUUGUUGCGUCGGCCGUGAAAACCUGCAGCUUAACUGUGGGCCUGCGGCCGAUACGGGCAGACUUGAGUUCGGUAGGGGAGACUGGAAUUCCUGGUGUAGCGGUGAAAUGCGCAGAUAUCAGGAGGAACACCGGUGGCGAAGGCGGGUCUCUGGGCCGAUACUGACGCUGAGGCGCGAAAGCGUGGGGAGCGAACAGG
rnacentral:rRNA from 1 species